GUUACGAGUUAGCUAUAUGGAGAAGUCAGCAGAGGUCAUAGUACCUAUAGGAAACGAGCAGGGGUCAUACCUCUGAUGGACUCACAGGUAGGGAAGGAC
rfam:Siansivirga zeaxanthinifaciens CC-SAMT-1, complete genome.